rnacentral:rRNA from 1 species
GAUGAACGCUGGCGGCGUGCCUAAUACAUGCAAGUCGAGCGAACAGACGAGGAGCUUGCUCCUCUGACGUUAGCGGCGGACGGGUGAGUAACACGUGGAUAACCUACCUAUAUGACUGGGAUAAUUUCGGGAAACCGGAGCUAAUACCGGAUAAUAUAUUGAACCGCAUGGUUCAAUAGUGAAAGACGGUUUUGCUGUUACUUAUAGAUGGAUCCGCGCCGCAUUAGCUAGUUGGUAAGGUAACGGCUUACCAAGGCGACGAUGCGUAGCCGACCUGAGAGGGUGAUCGGCCACACUGGAACUGAGACACGGUCCAGACUCCUACGGGAGGCAGCAGUAGGGAAUCUUGCGCAAUGGGCGAAAGCCUGACGGAGCAACGCCGCGUGAGUGAUGAAGGUCUUCGGAUCGUAAAACUCUGUUAUUAGGGAAGAACAAAUGUGUAAGUAACUAUGCACGUCUUGACGGUACCUAAUCAGAAAGCCACGGCUAACUACGUG